ensembl:ncRNA F59C6.19 ncRNA
AUUCUCAUAGCAAAACCUUGAAUAACAAACAUGAAUAGCUUUUAUCUAGAAUACACAAUUGUUCGGAACUACGAAGC